UCAUAGCACCAGGGAUCUUUUGGGUGCCUGGAACCAACAUGGAAAGAUAUGCACCUGCAUAGUAUCUAGCAGCCGAAAAUGUGAAAAUGGCUAAAAUUAAAAGCUCCAACCAGUCUUCAGAAGGCUGGACUAAAAGACAUUACAGAGGCAAAGAUCAUGGCAGCACAGGAACUGGGACGGGGCACAAGAGCAAUUAAAGUUAGAGAAUACCACAGUAGGCUGGACACAAGAUACAGGUUAUGCAAAUAAUCACUCUUAAACAGUAAACACAUAUCAGCUGGGCAUAACAUGUUUGCAGGAAAAGCAUGUAUGGCAUACAAAUGGAUGCAAAAGUGCACUUGUGUAUGAAUGUAAAACUCUUGACUAUUGAAACAACAGGACAGAAGGUUGUCAUUCUCAGUAUGUGCUGGAGAUCCAGCAGGCAAAGUAGGAGACAUAACUACGUAGCUGAGAAUGUCAGUGCUAUAAUCCUGUGGGACUACCUGGUUGGAAACCCAACUGGAUAUUUUUUGGUAGUUUGAAUCAGAGAAGAGGUACUGGUAGGGUGUUUUAUCUAGUCUACUGGAUUGUAGCUGACAGCAGUGGGGUUGGGAUAAUGCACCGGCAUUGUUCUGUUCUUUACUCAUUUUUAUAAAAAGAACUUGAGAAUUUCUUCUUAACAUUCCUCUUCCGAGGUUUAGCGUACAGUAGUUUGUCAUUUAAGCAGGGUCAGGCCUCAACCACUGAUAUCAUUUGGCAAGAGUCUAAAGUAAACCCCAGUCGAAAUCUAUGACUUUGUCCUUCUCUGUUCAACUUUCAUGAUUAACUGCAAUAGCUUUUCGUUGUCAGAUUUGCAAUUGUCAAGAGAUUUGUUUAAUUUAUCCAAGAAGGUAUGUAUGACAUCACAUACACACGAAUCAGUAUAAAUACUUUUCUUUUUAUCCGUUUCUCCCUAGCUGCCUUAAUUAUGACUUGCUUUGGAGAUGUAAGCCAGCUGUGUUUAUUGAUCACACAUUUAAUUGUCUUCUUUUUGUUCGUGACGCUCCAUCUCCAGUCUCUGACAUGUUGUUGGAGCUCCUAAUCCUAACGGUUACGUUUCAAGGUUGAACAAAGCGAAGCGAAGUGAAGCAGACAACAAAGCAAAAUCAAAAUGUGUAGUCACAGUGAAAGGACUUAAAAUAGAAACGAGCGCGGCAAAAACGUGCAGCCUUCUAAAGGUAUUUCUGCUGUUGUAAAUGUAAACUGCAGCACAGAGCAAUAAGAUGGUCACACUUAUUUUACUUUAAUAGACAACCUCACAUUUUCUUAUUUUCUGUGCUCGUUUCUUUACAUAAACAUUUUUGACCCAUUUUUUUCCUAGAAUACAUCCCUUUGCAUUUAUUUAAGCAUUUUCUCCACAAAUAUUUGUUAUAUUUCACAUUUGACUACAAACGUCAAAGAAUAUGUUUUUAAAAAAUUCAAUAAAUACACAAUAGAUACCUUACCUAAACUUAAAUUUUGCCCUGAUUUAUUUAUUUUAUUUAUUUUUUGGUAAAUAGAAAAAAAAAAGUAAUUUAAAGUGAAAGCUUUCCCUUGAAGAAUAAGCCACCAAUAAAGUUAUGGCUGGCAUUAACUGUUGGUACCGGUUUUCUUUUUCACAGAAAGUGACACCAGAGGGUAGGCAUUUAUCGUAUCGUUUAUCGGGAUAAAUCUCUUAUCAUGAUAAGAAAUUUGAUUCAUUAUCACAAUAAAUUCCAAUGAGUUAUGUUGAAACUCACCAAAGCUGUGAGAUAAAAAAUAGAAUAGUUUUACUAUUUUCUCCAUAGUUUGUUCAAUUAAAGCAUAAAUAAAUAUCAAUAAAUUUGAAAAUAGAGUUGCCGUUUGUAGUUUGGUGGUACAAUUACCACAUUUCUUUACAUGACUGGUGUUCUAAAGAUACAAAUUUGUUACAUUACUCAAGACCAUUGACUGUGUUUACGGGACUAUAAUUGCUGUGACACACAGCAAUAAUACAUAUCUUUUAUUACACCUAAAAGAGAUGUAAAAAAAUUUUCUUAUCGUCACUUUUAUUGUUAUAACAAUGGUAACUGCAAAAUAUCGUAAUAAAACUUAAAGUCCAUAUUGCAGAGCCCAGUGAUUUCUUCCUAAAGGGAAUUGUUUCAUUCCACUUCUACUGCAUCCCUAAAGCAAUACGACGUCCUCUGCUUUCUCAGAAUAAGGGAUUGCUGCAAAGUCUGUAGCCUCUAUCACAAAACACACAAGUCAAGACUUAGACACUUCUGUACAGAUCUACACAAUUUAUAUAAGGAAAGAAGGAGAGUUAAGCAAACCAGUCCAAGUUGAACCUCGAGGUAGGGCCGCCUUAAAAACGGCUGGUGUUUCUAAGCCACACUUUGCCUUUCUACUAGAGGGUUUGUGUGAGCCAAGAGGACGAGGGAUGCAACAUACACACCAUUUCUCACCAUUUUACACAUAUUGUAAGAAUUGCACAAGAGCAGACAUAAAGCCUCUGGAUUUUAGCCAAUCCUUGGUGACGGUGACCCUUGAAAACAGAACAGAAUCAACAAGGCCUCAUACGCCAGAGAUGCGUUUUACCGUUCAGCUUUGUAGAUGCACAGCUCUUGUUUCAUGAGUAACAUUCUGUAUCGACCCUGCUGAGAUCCACUCCCAGCAUCAGUUGGUUCUGCAGUACCGGCUUGGUUUACCAACGCUCGCAUGUCUGCAGUGAUUUACGAGCGGCUUGGUGAGGGGCUCUUUUUUUAAGCUUUACGGGGAACUGUUCGGGGGAAAUCUGUCACAUUGGACAACUUUCUGCCACUCAUACAUUUUGAAUUUGAAUGUUAAUCUGAGAACAUUUUUCACUUACUCAAAUGAUUUCCACUGCUUUCCAGUACUAAGAAACAAACGUGCUUCAAAUUGCAUACUGUAUAACACGACUGUACAACUUCCAGUCACAGAGGAAUCACCAAAGAACAGCCUCAGUUGUUUACUUUGAAAGACCAGGUAACCACAAAAGACUUUGUGUUCUCGUAGGGAAUGUACAUAUGAAUAUAUACAUUCAUACACUGUCCACUCACUGAGUUUGAGCGGACAGCGGCUGCAUAUGGAUGGGAUCUGUUUGUACAGCGGGGCAGUGAGUUGAUAUGGGGUUACGCUUUGGCUCUCUAUGAAUGAACUGAACUGAACUGAACUCUGAAACCUCUAUUUAGGAAUCCUAAAUACAUCUGUAAUGUCAGCUGCAUCUUUGGCGACGUGUCAGCGUGUGAGCAUCACGUCAGACUCCAGGGGACGUCGCCCCCAGCAGAAGAUUUAUGAACACGAUGUCUGUGAACUGGGGGCAUUUUUAGACCUCUGUCUUCUCACGGCGUCUCAUUUCUCAAACCUGACAGCGACAAAGGAGGAGAGGAGACGAGAGGAGGGGAGACAAUUUGGAUCUCGUCCCACACUGAAACAAUGUUUUGCCCGAAAUUGCAGAUAAUGCUGCCGCCGCUGCUGCUGAAGGUAAUGAUAAUGAUGAUGAUGAUGAGGGAGAUGGGCUUAGUGGUGAUGGUAGACGAAGAGGAGGAGGUGGUUAUGAACACCGAGUCAAGGACACAGAGAGGAAUUAAAAAUAUAACGAUGAGGCCAAAUUUGAUAUUGACGAUGCUGAGGAGUUGAAAAAUUCACACCAGGGUUCAAAUUUGUUUAAUGGAUGUUUUGCGAACAGGGCAUUUUUGUAUGUUCCCAAAACUACACUUUUAUCAGCUAAAGUUUUUUGUUUUUAUGGGUGUUUUUAGGUUGUAAAUAACCAGAGUGCAUCACUGUACCACAGCAAUGAUAUCAUUGCCCCAAUUCUGACAAAGCCAUUGACCUUAAACAUGUCAGACAUGAUGGAUAAGCUCUAGAUAAACGCUCACAGGGACUUUGGUUUUGGUCCGUUUCAGUAGCUACGCUUCCAAAUGCGAAAACUAGAAUUCCGAAAAUAAAUUUGCUUAGUAGAAACAUGCCAGUUUUGGAGAAAAGAAUACGUUUUUUCAAUAAAGCGUUUUUGCGUUAGUUUAAGGUUUUUUCUUUCUUUUGUUUUAUUUUAUUUUUUUUAUUUUUUGGGGGGGGGGAGGGGGGUGGAGUGGCCUGUAUUGAAAUUGGUGUAUUUGGUAAUACUGCAAUGGAAACACUUUUUUUGCUUCGAGUCAUGUGAUCAACAACCGAACGUUACCACUGGUGGAAAUGACGGAGAAGACGACGGGAAGUAGUUUGAGGGUUAUGGCGCAGCAUGAGUUUUAAUGACAUAUUGCACAUUCCUGUGAUUUUAGUUACAAAUUUUCUUUUCCUACAUUAGUGCAAUAUCUGCAAAGUUUUGUAAUGCAGAUGUUGACUACAUUCAAUAAUCAAAAGUACUAUAAAUUUUGUUGGGUUUUUUUGUGGGGGGGUGGGGGGUUGCACAGAUGAAGAUAUUCCUAAAAGUGAUGUGAUGGUCAGAAGGGACAAAUACAAAACUCAUCUUGAAAAUACUUUUUCCGUGGACAAAGCCUAUGAACUCCAGACUUAAAGGGUGCCUAACUAUCAGUCAGUUGUAAUUUGCUUUGGUAAGAGAUAUUUGUCUCGAUAGAGGGAGAAAGACUCAAGUUUCAGACUUUGACUACUGACUUGACUUAGACUUCAUCUCUAAAUCCUCAAGCCUCAAUCACAGUCUUUACCUCGUGUAAUUCGAAACGAAAGCAGACUAGUAAAUAAGCCACAGACAUGAUGUCUGACAGGUGCAUCUUCUUUUUAUAAAGCCUGUCCUUCAGACUUGAAUGAAACAUUCUCUCACUUACUGACUAUGUGGCACCUUGCUUGUUAAGUUGCAAUUCAUAGCGUAACGUGGAACAAGCUUACUGUUUAAAACUUGACAAAGAAAUGUAAUCAAUGUUGCCACUUCACAACAAAUAUUGUCUCAGUGGACUUUACAAAAUAUUCUCAGGUUACGAAUAUUUAAGCUUAAUUCUGAAUACCACACUUUGUAGAAAAAUUCAAAGCAGUUGGAAACAGUGUUUGGUGUGUAGAUUUGUGAGCUAAAAGAUUAAAACAUAAUUGUUAAAUGUGGGUUUGGUAAAUUAGACCUUAGGACUGUGGGAGCAGAUCAAGUGGUAUGGACUUGGAGGGUAAAUUACUAUUCCCACAUCUCUCCAGUGGGUACCAUAGCGCAGGGGCUCACAGCUUCCCAAAUAUGGCGUUUAAAGAAAAUCACUUCUUUAAAGAGAAUCCGUUGAAAAACUGUCCAGUCACGGCAUUUCCUGUGAAGCCUGUUCAUACUCUGGCACACGUCCCGAAGAGCCUCCCGCUAUCCUCCCCUUCGCCCGCACCGGCGGAAUGAGUAACGCACGCAUCAAUCACAACGAGGAGCAUAAACGACGUCUUACAACUUGUGGUGUGACUCUGAGGCAGAAAUGAAAUCCCGAUCCCUCAGCGGCCGUACAGAUCUGCACCGGAUGCCCACCGGGUCGCUUCAGUCAAAUCGCAUCAGGCGACGAUGAACAUCGGUAAUAAUCGUCCAUGACUAAAAACCGUGUGUUUGGCCCCCGUGGGGGCCCGCCGGGAUAGGAGGUUGCGGGAGCGGGCAAAUGGAUAUUAGAGGGCGGGGGUUUGAGUGAGAAGGUGCGUUCCCGGCGGACAUUAUAGGUCGUCGGCCUUCAGUGCGACGUGAUCUUCAUCAGUCGGUGAAGAUGACAAGUAUUAAAAGCGGGGGGCUCCCAGAGCUGUGUGCGUCAGUGUGCAUUGGAGAGGCGAUAAAUCAAAUAACUCAGAAAAGCACUGGUGUAGAGCGCCAUCUCUCUACCUCACGUCUUCUGCUCUCUCUCUCUCUCUCUGUCUCUCUCACGUGCCCUCUCCCCCUCGUUUGAUUCAUCUUUCCUCCAUCUCCACGUCUUUUUAUGUUUCUAACUAGCAUUCAAUUAAGUUAGUCUUACAGGAGUAAAAGCAAACGAACAGAAAAUGGUUUCCAUAUAUUUAAUUUUUUUAAAUUUCUUUAACCAAAAUCGCUUUGAGGUGGAGAUUAAAAACUCAAAACACAUUCCCUCGCGCGCGGCAUACACAGUCGCGCACGCACGCGGUAUUAUUUAUUUUGUUUAUUUAUUUAUUUGACAGGCAUAGCUGACUGCCGCACACCCUAUCACUUUCACCAAUCCCGUUUCGCAGACCCCGCUGCUGAGAUGACAGUGAAUAGACGCCCACUACCCACACGCAUUCUCACACUCACACACACACCGCCAGCAGCAGCUGCCUCUCUGCGUGUGUGCGUGUACGGGUGUGUGUGCGUGUGUGUGCGUGUGUGUUUGCGUGUGCUUGGCACCCUGCACCUCCCUGCUCUGAGUGGAUCAGCGCGGAAGCUCCGGAUCCACCAACAUAUGGAUCCCAUCUAAAAGGUGCUCCUGAUCCCGCUCCCUGCUCAACAGCUGUCCGGUCCGCCACAGAGAACCUGCUGCACCGCUGCUGCUGUUAUACAUCACUCCAGAAUCCCAUCACCACGCCUUGCUCUCCUCCCGAUCAGCCUCUGGCUCUCUUGUUACUUUGAAUGUGGCGCAAGCAGCAACCAUCAACCAGCAACCAUCUGGGUCAGACGGUCCGAAGCAGCAACUCUGAGAUUCAGAGUAGACUCCCAGUUAUAAGCCCUGUUUUUUUCUUUCUUUCUUUCUUUUUUUCUUUCUUUGGAUUUUUGCAACCCCGACCAACGUGGCAACAUGCGUCUCAGGUGCGCGUCCCACAAGUGAAGCAGCCCUCCCAGCGAGCGUUCAGCUUCAACACACACACACGCACACGCACGCCAACUGAAGAUAUAUUAUACUUCUCUUACCGCACUAGGAGUCCCGCUCUGGUGAUGAAGGAGGAAGGAGGAAGAAGCAGCAGCAGCCCGAAGCUUUACGGUCCGUUCUGCAGCAGCAAAGACGGAGAAAGCGUCCAUCACGGUUUGGAUGGUGUCACGUCUGACAGCUUCGCCGGCUGAUUUGUCUCCGUCUGAGUCAAUGAAACGCAGACCUGAAGGAAUUCAAGCCCCACAGGUGUGGCAGAGGGAAAACUCCUAAAGCCUGCAGGACAACGGGCCCCAAGGACCGGGGCUGAGAAACGCUGAACUAGACCAUCCUCUACCAGGUGAAACGUAUCAGUUGCGCUCCGUGAGGCAUUUCCUCACCAACAGAUUCACGAUUCUUGUCUUUCCAGGUCUGUUUUUUUUUUUUUCCCCUUUCGUUGCUCCGUUGGGGUUGUUGUUAUUCAGUACCACCUCUUUUUUAUUUUUUGCAGAUUUUGGGUGCAGCUCAGUCUCUUAGUCGAGCUGCAUUUCAUUUACUUGAUUUCAAAUUGUUGACGGUUGUUUCGCUUCUCGAAGCAGCAGAGAAAGUGGAGUUUUUCCACACAGCAUCACCUGCCAAUUAAAGAUUCAGCUGCAGACGUGAGGUUCUCACUUUACCGCCCUCCAAACUUAUGUAGGCACAUGUACAUCCAGGAGAAGAUGGGGGCGGGUGCCACACACACACUUAAUACCUGAGAUAUUUACACACACUC